CGAACGGACCGUAUACGCAGCUUGCUGCGUGUAUGGUUAGUGGCAGACGGGUGAGUAAUGCAUAGGAAUCUACCUAGUAGUAUGGGAUAGCCACUAGAAAUGGUGGGUAAUACUGUAUAAUCCCUGCGGGGGAAAGAUUUAUCGCUAUUAGAUGAGCCUAUGUCAGAUUAGCUAGUUGGUGGGGUAAUGGCCUACCAAGGCGGUGAUCUGUAGCUGGUCUGAGAGGAUGAUCAGCCACACUGGAACUGAGACACGGUCCAGACUCCUACGGGAGGCAGCAGUGGGGAAUAUUGGACAAUGGGCGCAAGCCUGAUCCAGCUAUGCCGCGUGAGUGAGGAAGGCCUUAGGGUUGUAAAACUCUUUCAGUAGGGAAGAUAAUGACGGUACCUACAGAAGAAGUCCCGGCAAACUC
rnacentral:rRNA from 1 species